rnacentral:rRNA from 1 species
GGAACCGCGAUAAGGGGAUACUGAGUGCCAGCAUAUUAUGUUGGCUGUCCACCUGUAUAAACAGCAGGUGUUAGCAAGGGCCGGGCAAGACCGGUGCCAGCCGCCGCGGUAACACCGGCGGCCCGAGUGGUGGCCACUAUUAUUGGGUCUAAAGGGUCCGUAACCUGUUCGAUCAGUCUUCCGGGAAAUCUGACAGCUCAACUGUUAGGCUUCCGGGGGAUACUGUCGGACUUGGGACCGGGAGAGGUAAGAGGUACUACAGGGGUAGGAGUGAAAUCUUGUAAUCCUUGUGGGACCACCAGUGGCGAAGGCGUCUUACCAGAACGGGUCCGACGGUGAGGGACGAAAGCUGGGGGCACGAACCGGAUUAGAUACCCGGGUAGUCCCAGCCGUAAACGAUGCUCGCUAGGUGUCUGGGACGGUGCGACCGUUUCAGGUGCCGCAGGGAAGCCGUGAAGCGAGCCACCUGGGAAGUACCGCCGCAAGCUGAAACUUAAAGGAAUUGGCG